rnacentral:rRNA from 1 species
CGGCGGACGGGUGAGUAAUGCCUAGGAAUCUGCCUGGUAGUGGGGGACAACGUUUCGAAAGGAACGCUAAUACCGCAUACGUCCUACGGGAGAAAACAGGGGACCUUCGGGCCUUGCGCUAUCAGAUGAGCCUAGGUCGGAUUAGCUAGUUGGUGAGGUAAUGGCUCACCAAGGCGACGAUCCGUAACUGGUCUGAGAGGAUGAUCAGUCACACUGGAACUGAGACACGGUCCAGACUCCUACGGGAGGCAGCAGUG